rnacentral:lncRNA from 1 species
UUUAGGUCUUGUAACUUGGAAUUUAUUUGUAGUGCUUAUAGAAAAGAGAUGCAAAAGACAAACUGUCUUCUUUAUGAAUGGUUGUCAGAACUUCACUUGUGUAUGGCUAGAUAAUUGUUCUCAUUUUUUUAAAGUAUUCUAAUCUAUACUUGUAUUUUUUAGGUAUCUGUAUUAGAAGAGUCACUAAAUAGUAGGCGUUUUGAGUCAAGCAAGCACUGAGGAUCAUGAAGCAACAUCACUAGGAAAUAUUUAGAUAUUUUUGUGAACUUCUAAUUUUGAUGUAAUUGUUUUGUAUGUUUAGUCACUUUACAUUAUUACCAAUACAGAUGUGGUGAGUCAUGUGUGGACAACUAGGGAGUCGGUGAACAUAUUUGGUUAACUUUCUUAAAAUCUUCCAAACUUAAAAAAAUGAUUCACCUUUAACGUAGUUUUAACUUUAUCAUAUACAAAAAAAUCAGAAGUGUGACUCAUAUACAAUGUCACUCAUAAAGAAAUAGUGUGAUUACUUGAUAUUAUUACCAAUACAGAUGUGGGGAGUCAUGUGCGGAC